CCUCCCUACCAAGGACAGGAGAGAUACAGAAAGGUAGACCACUUGGAGGCUUCAAUGUAGCUAAGAAGACCCACAUACCACAGAACACUAACAUGCAACUAUCAACCAUAAGUGUCGGACAGCCUUGCCAAGGACACCAAGGGCAGAAGAGAAAGAAGAGUUCCUGUCAAAAAAAGACCAAAGUCAGUGGCAAGGUGAAGAAGAAAAGCAUGCAAGUGAGAAAAACCUUCCAAAAGAAUCUGACAGAACAAAUUCCUCAGUCAUCUCCCUCCUGUUCGAGAAAACCUCGAAGAACAAUAAGACCAACAAUAUUCAUCUGUUUCCACAAGAUGGAUGAGGCACAAAGUGAAAAUGAAGAGGGAAUGAAUGAAAGACACUGGAAAACUGAGCCAUUCUCUGUAACAACCUGUGCAGCGAGUAAGUGCAGAGCCUGGGUCAGAGCCUUAGAACUCGCUACAGAGUGUCCGGAGGCAACUGUGGAGAAACGCCUAGUCUUAGAGGAGCCUUUAAAUGAGAAUCCAACAGAACACAAGGAUGCUGGGGACUGAAAUAAAAUCAAUCAGAUGUGCAAAUCAGAUGGAUGUGCAUGUGUUUCUGUGUU
rnacentral:lncRNA from 1 species